rnacentral:rRNA from 1 species
UGGGGAAUAUUGCACAAUGGGGGAAACCCUGAUGCAGCGACGCCGCGUGAGCGAAGAAGGCUUUCGAGUCGUAAAGCUCUGUCCUAUGAGAAGAUAAUGACGGUAUCAUAGGAGGAAGCCCUGGCUAAAUACGUGCCAGCAGCCGCGGUAAUACGUAGGGGGCUAGCGUUGUCCGGAAUCACUGGGCGUAAAGGGUUCGCAGGCGGAAUAACAAGUCAGAUGUGAAAGGCAUGGGCUCAACCCAUGUAAGCAUUUGAAACUGUAAUUCUUGAGAAGUGGAGAGGUAAGUGGAAUUCCUAGUGUAGCGGUGAAAUGCGUAGAUAUUAGGAGGAAUACCUGUGGCGAAGGCGACUUACUGGACACAAAUCUGACGCUGAGGAACGAAAGCGUGGGUAGCAAACAGG